AUGGACACACCGGAUGCGGGCAGCUAUUCGCUUGAACAAGCUCAAGCUUUUUACUCAUUUCCAUUUCAACAAAUGAUGGCCGAAGCUCCUACCAUGGCAGUCAUAACUGAGCAACAAAUGCCAGUAGAAGUUCCUGCACCAGCUCCCGCCCAGGAACCUGCACCAGAGGCUCCAAAAGGAAGGAAAAGAAAAGCUCGAACAACAGCACCCAAAAAACCAGUAGAACCAAAAAAAACCGUGGAACCCAAAAAAAUCUGCUGACUCAAAAAAAUCGGGCAAGUCAAAAAAAUCAAAAGAAAAGCAAGAAAAAAUCACAGAUACAUUUAAAGUGAAAAGAAAAGUAGACCGCUUCAAUGGUGUUUCUGAAGUGGAACUUUUGACCAAGACUCUCCCUGAUAUUUUAACUUUCAAUCUGGAUAUUGUGAUUAUUAGCAUAAACCCAGGACUAAUGGCUGCUUACAAAGGGCAUCAUUACUCUGCACCUGGAAACCAUUUCUGGUAGUGCCUGUUUAUGUCUGGGCUAAGUGAGGUUCAGCUGAAUCACAUGGAUGACCACACCCUGCCAGGGAAAUAUGGCAUUGGUUUCACAACACCAGGCAGCAAGGAUCUUUCCAGUAAAGAAUUUCGUGAAGGAGGGCGUAUUCUAGUACAGAAAUUACAGAAAUACCAGCCACGAAUAGCAGUGUUUAAUGGAAAAUGUAUUUAUGAAAUUUUUAGUAAAGAAGUUUUUGGAGUGAGAGUUAAGAACUUGGAAUUUGGGCUUCAACCCCAUAAGAUCCCAGACACUGAGACUCUGUGCUACGUGAUGCCAUCAUCCAGUGCACGAUGUGCUCAGUUUCCCCGAGCCCAGGACAAACUCCAUUACUAUAUUAAGCUGAAGGACUUGAGAGAUCAAUUGCAAGGCAUUGAACGAAACACAGAUGUUCAGGAGGUGCAGUAUACAUUCGACCUACAGCUUGCCCAAGAGCAUGCAAAGAAGAUGGCAGUAAAGGAAGGAAAGUACGAUCCAAUAUGAAGCUGCAUAUGGAGGCGCCUAUGGUGAAAAUCCGGGCGGCAGCACGGAGCCCUGCAGCUUCUCAGAUGGGCUAACAGCCAACAGGGUGCAGCUACAAGGAGAAUCUGCUUUCCCUGACAUCCCCAAUGGGCAGUGGAUGACCCAGUCAUUUACAGAGCAGAUCCCUUCCUUCAUCAAUCACUGUGGGACACAGGAACAGGAAGAAGGAAGCUGUGCUUAAGGAUGGAGCCUCUCAGCUCAGCCUCAGUGCCGCAGUUUUAUUGCGGCUCUCAAGACACAGAACCUCAGUUUGCCGAACUGAAGUCUUUUCUUAGUACUUUACUCUAGUAGUGUAAUUACAGUACAGUACAGAACAGUUGUAUAGUAGAUUCAAUUGUGUGAACCUCAGUAGUUUGGGAAGAAAAGGUAGGGUUUUGUAUAUGCAUUUUUGUAUUUGAAUUAACUACAUUCCAGUUUUUUUUACAUAUAUAUGUGUAAUCCAUUUUAUGAAGAAACUUGAUUUUCUUUUGGGACUCGAUUUAACCUGUAUAUGCAACAGUCUGAAUAUUUAUAGUUGAUUAUUAAUUGUGCAAAGGCCUAGAUAUGUUGUUUUUUCCUUUGACUGCCUAAGCAGGCCAGGCUAACAUUAAGCAGCACUGCUGGGAAGGAGGCGAACGUGGGUCUCCACGAAGGAAGCUUACUGUGACAUCUCCUGUAGUAGGUUUGGGUACUGAGGGUAAACUCAGGGCACUCUGAUUGUGGUCACACUCAGACCUCUUUGCUUACCCAUCUUAGGGAGGAGUGAGAUUGCUAAGUAGCAGAAACACAGCAUGUAGCCUUGCAGUGGCAAGGCCAAGUGGCCUUCCCUCACAGGACACCGAGCC